rnacentral:rRNA from 1 species
AUUGAACGCUGGCGGCAUGCCUUACACAUGCNNGUCGAACGGUAACGGGGAGCUUGCUCCGCUGACGAGUGGCGAACGGGUGAGUAAUGUAUCGGAACGUACCAUUCAGUGGGGGAUAACGUAGCGAAAGUUACGCUAAUACCGCAUAUUCUGUGCGCAGGAAAGCAGGGGCUCGCAAGACCUUGCGCUGAUUGAGCGGCCGAUAUCAGAUUAGCUAGUUGGUGAGGUAAAAGCUCACCAAGGCGACGAUCUGUAGCGGGUCUGAGAGGAUGAUCCGCCACACUGGAACUGAGACACGGUCCAGACUCCUACGGGAGGCAGCAGUGGGGAAUUUUGGACAAUGGGGGCAACCCUGAUCCAGCCAUGCCGCGUGAGUGAAGAAGGCCUUCGGGUUGCAAAGCUCUUUCAGCCGGGAAGAAAAUGCAUGGGUUAAUACCCUGUGCAGAUGACGGUACCGGAAUAAGAAGCACCGGCUAACUACGUGCCAGCAGCCGCGGUAAUACGUAGGGUGCGAGCGUUAAUCGGAAUUACUGGGCGUAAAGCGUGCGCAGGCGGUUUUGUAAGACAGGCGUGAAAUCCCCGGGCUUAACCUGGGAACUGCGUUUGUGACUGCAAGGCUAGAGUACGGCAGAGGGGGGUGGAAUUCCACGUGUAGCAGUGAAAUGCGUAGAGAUGUGGAGGAACACCAAUGGCGAAGGCAGCCCCCUGGGUCGAUACUGACGCUCAUGCCACGAAAGCGUGGGUAGCAAACAGGAUUAGAUACCCUGGUAGUCCACGCCCUAAACGAUGUCAACUAGGUGUUGGGAGGGUAAAACCUUUUAGUACCGUAGCUAACGCGAGAAGUUGACCGCCUGGGGAGUACGGCCGCAAGGUUAAAACUCAAAGGAAUUGACGGGGACCCGCACAAGCGGUGGAUGAUGUGGAUUAAUUCGAUGCAACGCGAAAAACCUUACCUACCCUUGACAUGUCAGGAACUCGCCAGAGAUGGCUUGGUGCUCGAAAGAGAACCUGAACACAGGUGCUGCAUGGCUGUCGUCAGCUCGUGUCGUGAGAUGUUGGGUUAAGUCCCGCAACGAGCGCAACCCUUGUCGUUAAUUGCCAUCAUUGAGUUGGGCACUUUAACGAGACUGCCGGUGACAAACCGGAGGAAGGUGGGGAUGACGUCAAGUCCUCAUGGCCCUUAUGGGUAGGGCUUCACACGUCAUACAAUGGUCGGUACAAAGGGUCGCCAACCCGCGAGGGGGAGCCAAUCCCAUAAAGCCGAUCGUAGUCCGGAUUGCAGGCUGCAACUCGCCUGCAUGAAGUCGGAAUCGCUAGUAAUCGUGGAUCAGCAUGUCACGGUGAAUACGUUCCCGGG